GUACCAAUAAUGUUAAUUCCAGCAUACAGGCAAGCCUUGUAGUGAGCAUCUGAUAUAUCUCUGCCAAAUGACUUUUCCGCUCCAGCACCACAGUAGUAAGGACCCUGAGGUCCGGGGUAGCCUCCAACAGGCCAACCUAAGGGCCAGUUUACAUUUGGCUGGAGUAAGGUGUACUCUUGUUCUAUUCCAAACCAUGGAACUUGAGCUGCAACUUUUGGGUCGCUAAAAAUUU
rnacentral:misc_RNA from 1 species